rfam:Ictidomys tridecemlineatus contig072760, whole genome shotgun sequence.
UGAGGUGUAGCUCAGUGGUAGAGUGCUUGCCUAGCAAGCAUGAAGCCCUGGAUUCAAUCCUCAGUAACACAA